AGGCGUUUCUCCUUCAAGAGGCCAGGAUGGGUUUGGUGGAAAUCCCUCUGGAUCGUGCAGGGUGACUGGAAUGAAUGCGGACCCCUGAGUAUUGAAGACCGUGUUUGUAGGAUGCGACUCGACUUCCCUAGUGUGAGCCCCCAGCUGCUACUCCUGCCUGUCAAUCAGUAGCCUGAAUCCUGGCCGAACGCUGGAAUUGCCUGAUGAGCUUUUCAAAUACACCGGCUCCCAGACCGCACCUCCGGAGCGUCUGAUUUAAUUGGUCUGGGGUGGGAACCCAGCGUCGGAUUCUUUAAAACGUUCGCCCGUAGCCAGGGUUCCGAAGCCCUGCUUUAGAUCCACCUGGCUUCACACAGCAAGCGGAGGGACUCGGCUCUGUCAUCCCCUGCUCAGAACCCCAGGCUGCUUCCCCAGGCCUUUUCGGAGUCCAGGGCGAGGUCCCUCCGAGUGCCCGGAUGCUAGCCUGCUCUGGAGUCUUGUUUUUUCCCUUCUCCUCCGACAGGGAGCGGCCGCCAGCAGGAUUGGCGGCUUGUCUUUCCUGAGAACAGCGCGCCUGUUCACACCUCCAUAACUUUGCACACUCUGAUCUUGCAUCUGGAAUGCCCUUUCUCCCCAAGUCUGCAUGCAGGACCUUUUCCAAUUGAAAAAGCAACUGGGGAAAUAAAUCUAUGAAAACGUGAAAAAGUAGAGAAGAGGAAUUAUCAGUCGACCCUCUACUUCAAGACAACCAUCGUAAACAUUUUGGCUGCAAGACCCCCGCCCUCCUCCACCCCAUGUCUUCACCAGUAACUUCUACUCUUCAGCACCCAGGUCGUCAGAAGGCUGGACUGCAGCUCCGCUGGAAGUGCCUUAUUUGUCCUUGUGUAGUUACAAACUGGUGAGGCGUAGGAAGAGGGGAAAUCAAGGAUGGACGUCCCCAACCCAUUUGGGAACCUCAUCUGCACAUCUUGAAUUGAGAGGGUUGGAGCAGAUGUCAGACAACUGGUCUCAAUUUUGCCUCUCAUACCUCUUCCUCAUGCAAGCCCCCGUCACUUGGCUAGACCAAGCCACACAAGAGGACGGACCCUCACCUCUCACCGGUCCUUGAGAUGCCUAGACAAGAAGCUUGGCUGCAGCCACAGCAUUGUUCUCCUCCCAGCCUCCAAAGAACCCAGGGCUCUCAAAGCAAAGUGUUCUUCCUCCCGAUGGGACCAGAUGGGCUGUCCAGAUAGUUUCCAUUUGCCAUCUCAAGUAAAACACCAAGAUGCUACAAAAAGAAGCCUGGCUUUUCCAUCUCGCUCCUCAACUUAGCAUGUGGACCUCAAAUUAUUCCCAGUGCCAAUCCUUUGAGAAAACGAACCGUUGAAAGAGCCAGGGGGGAAGGGAGAAGGAAAAAAAGAACACGUGAGCUCUUUCUAAAGAAAUCUGAAGGGCAGUAGGUGGAGGAAACGACCAUGUUUGCUCCAUCCUCUUGGUGUGAUGGUCAAGGGCACGGGUUUUGCUGAAGCCAGGUGCCCAUCCCAGCUGUCCCUCUUUUAUCCAUGUGACUCUGGGCAGAGCAUUCCACUGCUCUGAGUCUGUUUCCUCGACUCCUAAAAAAAGGAUAAUUAUGCUUACAUUCAAGACUUGCUUUGAAGAUGAAGUGACAUAAUACAUGAAGCAUUUGGGACUCAUAAUCAGUUAUCAGUAGACUUUAGCUGUUAUUAUUUUAUUAUUAUCAACAACUAUAAAGGGGAGAAAGGCAGACUCUUGCUUAGCAGAGCAGGAAACUUUUUAAAAAAUUGCUAGAGCUCGUCAAAGAGGGCAGAACAAUCUUUUGAGAUUAUCAGCAUUCCAGACUUCAGACCUUGAAAUAUCAACAGGAUGACCAUCUCUCAGGGAUGUUGUAGAGGAGAUUCCCACUUUGUGGGUCCUUCUGUGAGGGAUGCCAGAGGAAGGGCAGUGUAUUAAAUCAUCAGAGAUGCCCCUUAGCCACCAGAUACUCUGAAACUGUGCUACUAUUCUAAGAGCUUACCCACAUUCUGAUCUUUGGAGAUAGUUUGGUGUCAUUCCUUCCUUCCUUUCAUCUAUCCAUCGAUCCAUCGAUCCAUCGAUCCAUCCAUCCAUCUACCCAUCUACCCACCUCUCUAUCUACCUACCUACCUACCUGGCUAUCAUCUUAGGAGUUAAACCUGAAAGUUCCGGAUGAUAGCAUUUCUUGGGCUGGUGGAAGAUCCUCUGAGUCUUUAUCUGAUGGAAUUUUGAAUCUUUGUUGAUGCUGAUAAUGCCCAAUUAAGAAGUCAGCUCUUCCUAUCCCUUCAAUCCAUUCCCAUUAGCAUCUUAUUGUCAUGGGAGAACCUGAGCUCUUUGGGCAUAUAGAUCUGGGUUUGAAUCCCUCUUAGCUGGCUGAGUGACCUUCAGUAGGUUAUUU
ensembl:lncRNA